rnacentral:sRNA from 20 species
GCAGAUGUUUCUAGGGUUCCGAUGCCGUCAGGGCAUGUCUGGACCGAGAGAAACCUCCGGUGGGGAGACAUCCACCGGGUCCACGGCGGGAUAAAAGCCCGGGAGGC